UCUGAUUGAGCUACUAGAUACAACUACCGCUUUACAGGAAAUGCAGAGGACAGUGAUCACAUUAAAAGACACCACAUGAAUGCAGUCGGCAAAAUCCAGACUGGACAGCUCUACAAGAUAGAUGACCUUGUUUCUUCAACCAAAUUGAAACCAACAGUUAUGCAAAGCCACUGCCAACAUAACCAUGAGCUGCUGUGUGGAGUCUGAAGUACCUCAUGGAAAAAUAACUCUGAAUUGGAAUUCUUCCCAACAGCCAGAUUCGUUAAUGCUUUGACAACUGAGGCCUCAGCAGAUGUUCUCUUCUGGCAAAAAUCAAAGAAAGGAAAUCUACAGUAUCCUCUUG